rnacentral:rRNA from 1 species
GAUGAACGCUGGCGGCGUGCUUAACACAUGCAAGUCGAACGGUGAAGCAGGAGCUUGCUCCUGUGGAUCAGUGGCGAACGGGUGAGUAACACGUGAGCAAUCUGCCCUGGACUCUGGGAUAAGCGUUGGAAACGACGUCUAAUACCGGAUACGAGGCGUGGGGGCAUCCCCAACGCCUGGAAAGAAUUUCGGUCCAGGAUGAGCUCGCGGCCUAUCAGCUAGUUGGGGAGGUAACGGCUCACCAAGGCGACGACGGGUAGCCGGCCUGAGAGGGUGACCGGCCACACUGGGACUGAGACACGGCCCAGACUCCUACGGGAGGCAGCAGUGGGGAAUAUUGCACAAUGGGCGCAAGCCUGAUGCAGCAACGCCGCGUGAGGGACGACGGCCUUCGGGUUGUAAACCUCUUUUAGCAGGGAAGAAGCGAAAGUGACGGUACCUGCAGAAAAAGCACCGGCUAACUACGUGCCAGCCGCCGCCGUAAGAC